ensembl:ncRNA R08E3.9 ncRNA
GUGGGGGUGGGCGCUGCGUUUUUCUGAUGAGGUGCGCGCAGCUCGAUUUUUUCUUUACAUCUUGCGCCCCCGGGCGACAGAUAGAGAUGAUGCCCGUUGCUGCCUGCCGCCACUGCCGCUGCUGCUGCCAUCGACAGUUUCUU